UACGUAGGGUGCAAGCGUUAAUCGGAAUUACUGGGCGUAAAGCGUGCGCAGGCGGUGAUGUAAGACAGAUGUGAAAUCCCCGGGCUCAACCUGGGAACUGCAUUUGUGACUGCAUCGCUGGAGUGCGGCAGAGGGGGAUGGAAUUCCGCGUGUAGCAGUGAAAUGCGUAGAUAUGCGGAGGAACACCGAUGGCGAAGGCAGCCUCCUGGGCCAGCACUGACGCUCAUGCACG
rnacentral:rRNA from 1 species